rnacentral:rRNA from 1 species
UGGUGGCGAGUGGCGAACGGGUGAGUAACAUAUCGGAACGUACCCUAUCGUGGGGGAUAACUAUCCGAAAGGAUAGCUAAUACCGCAUACGACCUGAGGGUGAAAGCGGGGGAUCGCAAGACCUCGCGCGAAAGGAGCGGCCGAUAUCGGAUUAGCUAGUUGGUGAGGUAAAGGCUCACCAAGGCGACGAUCCGUAGCGGGUUUGAGAGGAUGAUCCGCCACACUGGUACUGAGACACGGCCCAGACUCC